rnacentral:tRNA from 2 species
UGGGGAUUCGCCAAGCUGGUUAAGGCAUCGGAUUCUGAAUCCGACAUGCGUAGGUUCGAAUCCUACAUCCCCAGCCA